CCUACGGGUGGCAGCAGUGGGGAAUAUUGCACAAUGGGGGAAACCCUGAUGCAGCGACGCCGCGUGAGUGAAGAAGUAUCUCGGUACGUAAAGCUCUAUCAGCAGGGAAGAAAAUGACGGUAACUGACUAAGAAGCCCCGGCUCACUACGUGCCAGCAGCAGCGGUACGACGUAGGGGGCAAGCGGUAGCCGGAUUUACUGGGUGGAAAGGGAGGGACGACGGCAGCACAAGUCUGGAGUGAAAUCCCGGGGCUUAACCCCGGAACUGCUGUGGAAACUGGGCGGCUUGAGUGCAGGAGGGGUAAGCGGAAUGCCUAGUGUAGCGGUGAAAUGCGUAGAUAUUAGGAGGAACACCGGUGGCGAAGGCGGCUUACUGGACUGUAACUGACGUUGAGGCUCGAAAGCGUGGGGAGCAAACAGGAUUAGAUACCCCGGUAGGC
rnacentral:rRNA from 1 species